CCCGCACAAGCGGAGGAACAUGUGGUUUAAUUCGAUGAUACGCGAGGAACCUUACCUGGGCUUAAAUGUAGAUUGCAUGAGGUGGAAACACUUCUUCCCUUCGGGGCUAUUUACAAGGUGCUGCAUGGUUGUCGUCAGCUCGUGCCGUGAGGUGUCGGGUUAAGUCCCAUAACGAGCGCAACCCUUACCGUUAGUUGCCAUCGGGUCAAGCCGGGGACUCUAGCGGGACUGCCACCGUAAGGUGAGAGGAAGGUGGGGAUGACGUCAAAUCAGCACGGCCCUUAUGUCCAGGGCUACACACGUGUUACAAUGGCCGGUACAGAGGGCAGCUACCUGGUGACAGGAUGCUAAUCCCGAAAGCCGGUCCCAGUUCGGAUUGGAGUCUGCAACCCGACUCCAUGAAGUUGGAUUCGCUAGUAAUCGCGCAUCAGCCAUGGCGCGGUGAAUACGUUCCCGGGCCUU
rnacentral:rRNA from 1 species